rnacentral:rRNA from 1 species
UAAACCCUCCCACCUAGAGGAAGGAGAAGUCGUAACAAGGUUUCCGUAGGUGAACCUGCGGAAGGAUCAUUG